AUUGAUUUUGACCUCUUGCUGACCCCCCUCCAGUAGUAAACAUCCACAUCUGUGUUCUCUACAAGAGCCACAGACUCCAACCUGGCUGAUGAGUCGAUCCAGUCCGCCCUAGAGUGAUGCCGUGUGCAGCACGCCUGGUCCUUUGCGGCCCCCGUGCAGGCGAUGAUCUCGCCCCAGUCGAGUGUCUGGCUUCGGUCGGCUCUUCUGGGUGGGUGGUUCUGGACGUCUGACAGGU
rnacentral:snoRNA from 1 species